UGAAUUCGCGAAUGCAAAAUA
rnacentral:piRNA from 1 species